rnacentral:rRNA from 1 species
GACGAACGCUGGCGGCGUGCUUAACACAUGCAAGUCGAACGGAAAGGCCCUGCUUUUGUGGGGUGCUCGAGUGGCGAACGGGUGAGUAACACGUGAGUAACCUGCCCUUGACUUUGGGAUAACUUCAGGAAACUGGGGCUAAUACCGGAUAGGAGCUCCUGCUGCAUGGUGGGGGUUGGAAAGUUUCGGUGGUUGGGGAUGGACUCGCGGCUUAUCAGCUUGUUGGUGGGGUCGUGGAUUACCAAGGCUUUGACGGGUAGCCGGCCUGAGAGGGUGACCGGCCACAUUGGGACUGAGGUACGGCCCAGACUCCUACGGGAGGCAGCAGUGGGGAAUAUUGCACAAUGGGCGGAAGCCUGAUGCAGCAACGCCGCGUGCGGGAUGACGGCCUUCGGGUUGUAAACCGCUUUCGCCUGUGACGAAGCGUGAGUGACGGUAAUGGGUAAAGAAGCACCGGCUAACUACGUG